rnacentral:rRNA from 1 species
AGAGUUUGAUCCUGGCUCAGGAUGAACGCUAGCGGCAGGCUUAACACAUGCAAGUCGAGGGGUAUGCCGAUUUAUCGGCAGAGACCGGCGCACGGGUGCGUAACGCGUAUGCAAUCUACCUUUCACAGAGGGAUAGCCCAGAGAAAUUUGGAUUAAUACCUCAUAGUAUAGCAGUUUCGCAUGAAACCACUAUUAAAGUUCCAACGGUGAAAGAUGAGCAUGCGUCCCAUUAGCUAGAUGGUAAGGUAACGGCUUACCAUGGCUACGAUGGGUAGGGGUCCUGAGAGGGAGAUCCCCCACACUGGUACUGAGACACGGACCAGACUCCUACGGGAGGCAGCAGUGAGGAAUAUUGGUCAAUGGACGCAAGUCUGAACCAGCCAUGCCGCGUGCAGGAAGACGGUCCUAUGGAUUGUAAACUGCUUUUGUACGGGAAGAAACCCUCCGACGUGUCGGAGCUUGACGGUACCGUAAGAAUAAGCAUCGGCUAACUCCGUGCCAGCAGCCGCGGUAAUACGGAGGAUGCGAGCGUUAUCCGGAAUCAUUGGGUUUAAAGGGUCCGUAGGCGGUUUAAUAAGUCAGUGGUGAAAUCUGGUCGCUCAACGAUCAAACUGCCAUUGAUACUGUUAGACUUGAAUUACUGUGAAGUAACUAGAAUAUGUAGUGUAGCGGUGAAAUGCUUAGAUAUUACAUGGAAUACCAAUUGCGAAGGCAGGUUACUAACAGUGGAUUGACGCUGAUGGACGAAAGCGUGGGGAGCGAACAGGAUUAGAUACCCUGGUAGUCCACGCC